UCUCGAAAGCCUGUCCCAGUUCGGACUGGAGUCUGNAACCCGACUCCACGAAGUUGGAUUCGCUAGUAAUCGCGCAUCAGCCAUGGCGCGGUGAAUACGUUCCCGGGCCUUGUACACACCGCCCGUCAAGCCAUGGGAGCCGGGGGCGCCUGAAGUCCGGGACCGCGAGGACCGGCCUAGGGCGAAACUGGUAACUGGGGCUAAGUCGUAACAAGGUAAC
rnacentral:rRNA from 1 species